UCGUGAGUGUUCAUUACACACACAGUGCCGCAAUCCAUCUCACUAAAGCUAAAGCAUACCAUGGCACAGUAGAGGUCUGGGCUGAAAACAAAAAACAACCUUUCAGGAGGAAAGAAAUAGAAGAGGACCGUCCUGAAGCAGACUCUGAGACAAACACUGAGACAGAAGUUGAUUGAUAAGGGUCUAUGGCCCUCUAUCCUCACCUGUGGACCCUGCUCCGUGGUGGGAUCGAAGGGGCUUCCUACUGUCCUCCUCUUGGCCCUCUCCACACUCCUGCGCACAAACUCCUCAUAGAUGGGCUCUUCCACGAAGAUACGAGAGCCUGCAGUGCAGCACUGGCCUGCAUUGAAGAACACUCCCUGGUGGGCCUGCUCCACAGCUAGAUCCACUGAGGAAGAGGAAGAAGAGGAAAAGGGGGGCUCAGUAUACAGUUCAUUUUAGCGGAGAUUGAGAGAAGACCAGCGCUGGGAGAAGAUAGAGGGAGUCAAGGGAGGAG